rnacentral:rRNA from 1 species
AGCGCAGGCGGGGAGAUAAGUUGGGAGUGAAAACUAUGGGCUCAACCCAUAAAUUGCUUUCAAAACUAUCUUUCUUGAGUAGUGCAGAGGUAGGCGGAAUUCCCGGUGUAGCGGUGGAAUGCGUAGAUAUCGGGAGGAACACCAGUGGCGAAGGCGGCCUACUGGGCACCAACUGACGCUGAGGCUCGAAAGUAUGGGUAGCAAACA